CAUGACCACUAGGGGAGUCUUUUUAAGGCUGAGACGUGUAUUGCAUAUACGGACCCUUUGAACCUGAUCUAGUUCACACUAGCGUAGGAAAGUGGCGACACUUGCUU
rnacentral:ncRNA from 1 species